GGCGGCGCGCUUAACACAUGCAAGUCGAGUGCGCAGUCUUCUGUAGCAAUACAGGAGGCCGGCGCACGGCGCACGGGUGCGUAACACGUGGGCAACCUGCCCUCCAAAGGGGGAUAACCCCGCGAAAGCGGGGCUAAUACCGCAUGACAUUCCGGGGGACGCAUGUUCCUGGAUUCAAAGCCCGCAAGGGCGUUGGGGGAGGGGCCCGCGGCCGAUUAGCUUGUUGGCGAGGUAACGGCUCACCAAGGCUUUGAUCGGUAGCCGGUCUGAGAGGAUGAUCGGCCACACUGGAACUGAGACACGGUCCAGACUCCUACGGGAGGCAGCAGUGGGGAAUAUUGCGCAAUGGGCGAAAGCCUGACGCAGCGACGCCGCGUGGGGGAUGAAGCUUCUCGGAGUGUAAACCCCUUUCGACCCGGAAGAAUGGCCCGCAAGGGCUUGACGGUACGGGUAUAAGAAGCCCCGGCUAACUACGUGCCAGCAGCCGCGGUAAUACGUAGGGGGCCAGCGUUGCUCGGAAUUACUGGGCGUNAAGGGU
rnacentral:rRNA from 1 species